rnacentral:rRNA from 1 species
GAUGAACGUUGGCGGCGUGCCUAAUACAUGCAAGUCGAACGAAGACUGUAGUAAUACUGUCUUAGUGGCGAACGGGUGAGUAACGCGUGGGUGACCUGCCCCGAAGUGUGGGAUAACAGUCCGAAAGGAUUGCUAAUACUGCAUAAUAUCCAAGAGAUUAGACGCUUUUGGAUUAAAGGAGUAAUUCGCUUCGGGAGGGGCCCGCGUCCCAUCAGCUAGUUGGUAAGGUAAUGGCUUACCAAGGCGAUGACGGGUAGGGGACCUGAGAGGGUGGCCCCCACAAUGGAACUGAAACACGGUCCAUACACCUACGGGUGGCAGCAGUAGGGAAUAUUAGUAAUGGGCGAAAGCCUGAACUAGCAACGCCGCGUGUGCGAAGAAGGCCUUCGGGUCGUAAGACACUUUUGUAGAGGAUGAGGAAGGACGGGUACUCUCAGAAUAAGUCUCGGCUAACUACGUG